GUCACCGGCCGCAGAUUAGAGGUAUCUAUGUUUAACCCCGGGUGGUCGGCUGAUAUCUCGACAUGCCUUAUGCAUGAUAGUGCACACCUUGGUUUCAAACGAUUCUCUACAGAUAGAAUGGGGCUACAUGCUUGGGCCCCUGUUGAACACACACCCACACCCUUUGUUUUUGAAACAAACACACACACACACACACACACUCCUGCUGCUCCGUCGUGUCUUUUUUCUUCGUGACAGACCGGGGUGAUGUCGGGAAAGGACAUUUUCCUAUCGUUAAAGGGUGAGAUACAUUUUUUAAACCAGUGAUUUAAUUCCAAAAUAUUUAGUACAUACGUUUUAAAGACGUGUUAGAAUUAAUGACCAAAUUGUACUACUAUUUAAACAAGAAUCAAUAGUAUUUUAUGUAAAAACAUUGGAGGCCUACAGUUGUACCGCACACUCACGCACGCACGCACCCGGAUUUUCUGUAUUUUUUUCUUCGUGACAGACGUGGUUGAUGGCUGGAAAGGACAUUUUCCCUUCGUUAAAGGUUCUCACUGAAGGGGAUAAUUCUCACUGAAACUACAGAAUAAAGCCGCCAGUUAAAAUCAUGGAACGGUUGUGCUCGUGGUUACUGAAGGGAGCUACAAGACCAUUAUUUGUUUCGAAUUCACCAACUCAAAGACGCUUGCCCGCUCCAUCAUAACUCCGUAAGUUUUCCCUCCCUGUGUAGAUCAAACGUCCUGCCUGUAAAUCCUGGGUAUGCCCACAUCAUUAAUGAAUAAGAUGUGUAGAAAACUGUUUAGCCAUAGUUAAAGGCCUUUCAUAAAGAGGCUGUCAUGAUUGCCUGUGCCUCAUGUUUAACACGUAUUGCUUGUUACCGAAUACUACUGUUGUACAUUUAAUAUCUACUAGCCGAUUUCGUCGCAUUUGCACAAAUUCUGUCAUGUUACUGUGGUCUUUUUAAAAGUCAAUAAAUAUGUGUGUAGAGUGUACAUGUUUGUUUCACUGUAGAUCUGUUUAAGACCUCCUAGAAACACCUAAUUUCAUCCCACAGCAUUAAUUAAUAAGCUGUGUAGAAGCUGUUUAGCCAUAAGUAAAGGCCUUUCAUAAAGCAGCUGUCAUGAUUGCAUGUCCCUUAUGUUUAACACGUAUUGCUUGUUACAGAAUACUACUGUUGUACAUUUAAUAUCCCCUAGCAGAUUUCGUUGCCUUUGCACAAAUUCUGUCAUGUUACUGUGGUCUUUUUAAAAGUCAAUAAAAAUGUGUGUAAAGUGUCCAUGUUUGUUUCACUGUAUAUUUGUUUAAGCCCUCCUAGAAACACCUAAUUAAAGGCCUUUCAUAAAGAGGCGGUCAUGAUUGCAUGUGCCUCAUGUUUAACACGUAUUGCUUGUUACAGAAUACUACUGUUGUACAUUUAAUAUCCCCUAGCAGAUUUCGUUGCCUUUGCACAAAUUCUGUCAUGUUACUGUGGUCUUUUUAAAAGUCAAUAAAUAUGUGUGUAAAGUGUA